rnacentral:lncRNA from 1 species
AACUGUGGGUACCUUAGGAGAUCAACCCAAGAGGAGGGGAUCCUGAUGUCACUGAAGGCCCACAGAUGAAACAUACCCAGACUGGCAGACCAUUCACCCAUAAAACACUAGUUUUUUGGGGUUUUGUUUUCUAUUUUGGUUUUUGUUUUGCUUUGUUUGCUAAAGUAUAUGCUAAAACAAAAGAAUCAUUCCAUGUUUGUUCUGAAACAUUAGCAUUUCCAGAAAUUUUGAGAGAUCCACCUGCAGAUGCCACAUGUCUGGAAAACAGAUCACCAAGGAACUGUCUCCAUGGAUACUCCUUGGUGCAAGAUUGAUGGAUUGACAUGUGUAUUUGAAAUCGACAUAGUGGGGCUGGGGAUUUAGCUCAGUGGUAGAGCGCUUGCCUAGGAAGUGCAAGGCCCUGGGUUCGGUCCCCAGCUCCGAAAAAAAGAACCAGAAAAAAAAAAAAAAA